rnacentral:rRNA from 1 species
AUACGGAGGGUGCGAGCGUUGUUCGGGAUUAUUGGGCGUAAAGCGCGUGCAGGCGGUCUUUUAAGUCUGAUGUGAAAGCCCCGGGCUCAACCUGGGAAGUGCAUUGGAAACUGGGAGACUUGAAUACGGGAGAGGGUAGUGGAAUUCCUAGUGUAGGAGUGAAAUCCGUAGAUAUUAGGAGGAACACCGGUGGCGAAGGCGGCUACCUGGACCGAUAUUGACGCUGAGACGCGAAAGCGUGGGGAGC